GACGAACGCUGGCGGCGUGCUUAACACAUGCAAGUCGAGCGGUAAGGCCCUUUCGGGGGUACACGAGCGGCGAACGGGUGAGUAACACGUGGGUGACCUGCCCUCAGCUCUGGGAUAAGCCUGGGAAACCGGGUCUAAUACCGGAUAUGACUCCAUGACGCAUGUUGUGGGGUGGAAAGCCUUGUGCGGCUGAGGAUGGGCCCGCGGCCUAUCAGCUUGUUGGUGGGGUGANGGCCUACCAAGGCGACGACGGGUAGCCGGCCUGAGAGGGCGACCGGCCACACUGGGACUGAGACACGGCCCAGACUCCUACGGGAGGCAGCAGUGGGGAAUCUUGCGCAAUGGGCGAAAGCCUGACGCAGCGACGCCGCGUGAGGGAU
rnacentral:rRNA from 1 species